rnacentral:rRNA from 1 species
CAGUGGCGAACGGGUGAGUAACACGUAGGUAACCUGCCCAUGUGCCCGGGACAACGCCUGGAAACGGGUGCUAAAACCGGAUAGGUAGAGAGAUCGCAUGAACUUUCUAUUAAAGGGGCUACGGCCCUGAACAUGGAUGGACCUGCGGUGCAUUAGCUAGUUGGUGAGGUAACGGCCCACCAAGGCGACGAUGCAUAGCCGACCUGAGAGGGCGAACGGCCACAUUGGGACUGAGACACGGCCCAAACUCC